GAUGAACGCUGGCGGCGUGCUUAACACAUGCAAGUCGAGCGAGAGAGUUCUUCGGAACAAUCUAGCGGCGGACGGGUGAGUAACACGUGGGCAACCUGCCUCAUAGAGGGGAAUAGCCUUCCGAAAGGAAGAUUAAUACCGCAUAACAUCGUUGAAGGGCAUCCUUCGAUGAUCAAAGGAGCAAUCCGCUAUGAGAUGGGCCCGCGGCGCAUUAGCUAGUUGGUGAGGUAACGGCUCACAAGGCGACGAUGCGUAGCCGACCUGAGAGGGUGAUCGGCCACAUUGGGACUGAGACACGGCCCAGAAUCCUACGGGAGGCAGCAGUAGGGAAUAUUGCACAAUGGGGGAAACCCUGAUGCAGCAACGCCGCGUGAGUGAUGACGGCCUUCGGGUUGUAAAGCUCUGUCUUUGGGGACGAUAAUGACGGUACCCAAGGAGGAAGUCACGGCUAACUACGUGCCAGCCGCCGCCGUAA
rnacentral:rRNA from 1 species